rnacentral:rRNA from 1 species
GGAGGAAAGCAGGGGAUCGCAAGACCUUGCGCUCAUUGAGCGGCCGAUGCCUGAUUAGCUAGUUGGUGAGGUAAAGGCUUACCAAGGCGACGAUCAGUAGCUGGUCUGAGAGGACGACCAGCCACACUGGGACUGAGACACGGCCCAGACUCCUACGGGAGGCAGCAGUGGGGAAUUUUGGACAAUGGGGGAAACCCUGAUCCAGCCAUGCCGCGUGAGUGAAGAAGGCCUUCGGGUUGUAAAGCUCUUUCAGCCGGAACGAAACGGUCACGGCUAAUACCUGUGACUACUGACGGUACCGGAAGAAGAAGCACCGGCUAACUACGUGCCAGCAGCCGCGGUAAUACGUAGGGUGCGAGCGUUAAUCGGAAUUACUGGGCGUAAAGCGUGCGCAGGCGGUUUUGUAAGUCAGAAGGGAAAUCCCCGGGCUUAACCUGGGAACUGCGUUUGUAAAAGGAGGCUAGAAGGGC